rnacentral:rRNA from 1 species
GACGAACGCUGGCGGCGUGCUUAACACAUGCAAGUCGAACGGAAAGGCCCUGCUUUUGUGGGGUGCUCGAGUGGCGAACGGGUGAGUAACACGUGAGUAACCUGCCCUUGACUUUGGGAUAACUUCAGGAAACUGGGGCUAAUACCGGAUAGGAGCUCCUGCUGCAUGGUGGUGGUUGGAAAGUUUCGGCGGUUGGGGAUGGACUCGCGGCUUAUCAGCUUGUUGGUGGGGUAGUGGCUUACCAAGGCUUUGACGGGUAGCCGGCCUGAGAGGGUGACCGGCCACAUUGGGACUGAGAUACGGCCCAGACUCCUACGGGAGGCAGCAGUGGAGAAUAUUGCACAAUGGGCGGAAGCCUGAUGCAGCAACGCCGCGUGCGGGAUGACGGCCUUCGGGUUGUAAACCGCUUUCGCCUGUGACGAAGCGUGAGUGACGGUAAUGGGUAAAGAAGCACCGGCUAACUACGUG